rnacentral:rRNA from 1 species
GGCGGAAUGCUUUACACAUGCAAGUCGAACGGCAGGCACGGGACUUCGGUCUGGUGGCGAGUGGCGAACGGGUGAGUAAUAUAUCGGAACGUGCCCAGUCGUGGGGGAUACGUAGUGAAAAUUACGCUAAUACCGCAUACGAUCUAAGGAUGAAAGCGGGGGAUCGCAAGACCUCGCGCGAUUGGAGUGGCCGAUGUCAGAUUAGCUAGUUGGUGGGGUAAAGGCCUACCAAGGCAACGAUCUGUAGCUGGUCUGAGAGGAUGAUCAGCCACACUGGGACUGAGACACGGCCCAGACUCCUACGGGAGGCAGCAGUGGGGAAUUUUGGACAAUGGGCGAAAGCCUGAUCCAGCCAUGCCGCGUGAGUGAAGAAGGCCUUCGGGUUGUAAAGCUCUUUCGGCUGGGAAGAAAUCGCACAGGCUAAUACUCUGUGUGGAUGACGGUACCAGCACAAGAAGCACCGGCUAACUACGUG